AUUAAAAGUUGUAUUCUGGAAUUACCUGGAAGGGUGGUGUCUUGUGUAGUGUUACACUGGGGAUUUCCAUUAAAAGUUGUGUAAGGGAGCCCAGACCUGAAUUUCUUCACUUCCUAGUAUUGUCAUUUAAGUGACGGACAGCUCUGGGUGUGUUUAAAUCAUGGCUUUUAACAACUCUUGCCCGCUGGUAAGUUUAGUUUUCAUGAAUAGGCAAGGCAUACUACCUAAAAUGAUUUCCGUCAUCCUUUGUCCGCACAACGCAACGUACAGAGGAUGUUAAUCUUUUAUUCUACUAAGAAAAGCAGGAGAAGUAAUUGGGGACAAACUAGCAUUAUGGUAGGAGUGAAGCUUGGAUAAGCUGUUCUUGUGUUAGUAAUGAGACUUCACUCCUACCUGUUAAAGAUAACGGACAAAGAACAAUUCAAGUGAAGCUACAAACAGAAUUCACGCAGGAAAUGGCCUUUCUUAUUUGCUGUUCCACCAGAAUGCUGCAUUAGUGAUUGAGUUCCGCAUUUUAAUUCAGCUGUCGUGGUUGGAGGUCCUAUUACUCAUAAGCCUAACAGUGGUGGCGUUCUCCUGUAUUACAGCACAACUUUGUUCCACACAGCAGCAGCUCAGAUUAACAGAAAAGAAGGCUUUCGGAUCCUAGGCCUUGUACGGUUAAUGAAAAUGAAUCUUUCUACAAGCUCAGUUAAUUUAUCUAAUAUUGUAUGUGCCCUUCAGUCGAUCUCACUUUAUCAAGAAAAUCAGUAAAUCCAGGCGGUGCAAGGCUAAUCGUACAGACAAAAUUGUAGUGCUGUCUGUAAAUCAUAGAAGUUCAGAAGUAUGAAAUGUAUUCCAGAUUUAGUAAUUUUCACACUUUUGUAGAGGAGAGAUGCAUUUCUGAAGCUACAUUCUUAAUAGUCCUUUCACCCACUAAAAGGCUGUCUAUUUAUGGGACAAUUAUACCCUAAACUCAAAAUGUCCUUGUACUAAAGUGCAUUGUUUUCAGUUCAAAGUGAUGGACACACUGCCACCUAUACCUGUAGCAUCACUUAGCUGUUUCACACCUUCUGUCAUACUGCAGUGAUCUUCAUAUUUCUCAUUGUACAGCAUGUUAGGUUUAAAUGAAAUCUUGUGACAGUUUUCUGUAGGAAUUCAUGUGUACACAUAUUUGUAUGUAUAUACUGACAUAUGAAUCAGGGAAAGAUGAUCUGUUAAACCCAAAAGACUGAAACUACAUUUCUAAGUGUAAAAUGCGUUUUCACUGAACCUAUGCUGCAGUCAUUGAAGGUCAUAUAUUUUGUAAGUGGACAAGAUCCUCUGUGUUCUCACAAGUUGACCCCUUCACACCCCACUAUCACAAAUAUACUAAAUGCAUAGUCAAACACUGCAGAAAAAGGUCAGAUGCCUUCAACAUGCAAAUCCUGUCCCACUGUAUUUACGAGUUCACUACAGCUGCAUGCAUUGUAACAUACAGCUACACAGCACGGUCAGCCGUUAUAAAGUAUUUUCUGUCUAAUACAUCAAACGAUACUUACAAAACCCCUGACAUGUUUCACAUAUGCAUCAACUGAAUGUUCCACUUACUUUAACUGUCACCAAAAACAGUGUUCACUGUAGUGUCAAUCUUUAAAACCACAAUUAUUUAAUAAUGAAUUGAAAAACCAUCUACCUUGGCUUCACAUGGAUAUUAUUUAUGCUGUUUACACAUUACCUUCAGUACCAGUUUUCAGACUUUCUCACAAUGCUGUAUACUGACUUUCUACUAAAUGUAUUAGUGAAUGGCACUCAGUGUAUUCUGUUCAUGUUACUGUAUUGCAUAUGUUUGCUUGAUCCUGUAAAAGUUUGCUGAAAGGCAUAUAGGUCAUGCCUGAAAAGGUCCACUCAGCCCAGUGUACUUAUACCUGCCCGGUUAAAAAAAUGGUAAAUAAAUAAACUCCACCAUUUUGGCAAGGCCAUAGCUAGGUCAUCUGACACCCCCUUAACUCACAAUUGAAAGGCACAAAGGGCUUUCGGAAGAUGAGGGCCAAAAAGAAAAUGGGGAGUUAUGCUACUUGCUACAGCGACUAACUCUCUGAGCCACUAAAUACAAGUGCAAAUGAAGUACUGCUAUUAAUUUAAGAAGCAGCAGUAUCACCUUCAGCUUCUAAAAUCAGUGCAGGAACUACACUUGUACCCCAUGUACACUUACAUAUUGUUUCUCCUAACACCUUGCACCCAGGAUAGCUGCCCCCAUCAUCCCAGCCUGGUUAUAGUUCCACAUAUUGGUUGCACCCAGGCUCAUUCCCAAACAGCCCUGUCAGCAAACAGAUUAUAGUUUAAAGUCCACAGCUUCAUUUCAGCCCUGUAUAAAACCUUUGACUUAGUUUUCCUUCAGACUUCAUCAUCACAAGCCCCGAACUGGCCAUCAGAAGUCAAGAGCCAAGAAUCUUCAAGUACAGUUCUACUCCAUAAUGGACUUCCCAAGUGAGAAAUUACCUUCAUUCUUUGCUCUUUCCAGGUUGCAAACUUUUUAUAUACCACAGAUAAGCAAUAAGUGUCUCAUUAUUAUAUGUAAUGCAACCAAUUGUCUAGCCAAUGAUUGUGAGAAUUUAAAGACAUAAGAUACUCCCCAUUUCCAAAACACAAGAUUUCACACUGUCUGUCUAUCUGUCUCUCUCUCUCUC